GCAUUAUUCAUAACAACAGAAAAAAAGAAACUAACCAAACAUCCAUCAACUAAUGAAUGGAUAAAAAAUAUGGUAUACCCAACAGUGAGAUAUUAUUAAGCCAUAGAAAGGAAUGAAGUUUCUAUGCUUGCUACAGCAUGAACAUUGAAACCAUUACACUGAGUGAAAGAAGCCAGCGUGGCAGGUAAAGGGAUGCGAGCAAGGAGGAGACAUUGUGAUCUUGACUCCUUUUCCUUUGAGUAGAGGAUAAUUUGUCACAUUUUGGAAGGCAGUGCCUUUGAGCAGCUUCAUGAGCCUAGGAUCUGACUCUCUUAGGAAAGUUCCUUGGAAGAGCCUACAGGUGACAACAGUGUUGAACUUUAGGCAAGCCCUGUGAUACUGGAAAAUUGCAAAGGUUAAGAAAUGUCCCCACCCUUUUGUGUUCUGGGAAACAGCUCACUGCAAAGAACUCCCUUCCCCAUAUGACUUAGAUGAGACUCAUAGGUGCCCCCACUUGUUUACCUAUGACAAGGCCAGACCCAGAGCCUCCAAACUCCCUUUCUUUGUUUUUGUGGUUAGUUUAACUGCCUGUUUCCACUGGUCAGUCGGAACAAAGUGUUCGUUAACCUAACUUUGGUGUAGAGUCUCUCCUUUCCCCAGGUCCUGGCCCACCCUCAGCCUGAGCCAGCAGACAACUCCUCUUUACAGACCUUCCUGAUCAGCCCUCAACCACUGUCUGAUUGUGUCACUCUGAUCAUCCCAGCCCCCAACACCCACUUCUUUCUAACCUUGUUUAUGCCUCUUUAGCAAAGCAAAAUAUUUACUGCCUCAUCUUGAGACACUUGCAGAUUAAGUGGUCAGAACAUUCCCUCUACUGCAAUAAUCCUUUUGAAUAAAGUCUCUCCUAACUAAAUCUGAGGUUUUUUUUUGUUUGGCAGUAAAUUAAUGAAGCCAAAGAUCACGGGAGACCAUCUGCUUGUGUUUACCCAUGAGGCAGUGUGGCAUAGGCGAAUGGGUGCGAGUCUAGCCCUGCUAUUCCUGCCUGUGUAACCCUAGAGAGCCUUUCUAAUUACUCUCUGCCUCUGCUUCCUUACCUGUAAAAUGGGCUAAAUAAUGGUACCUGUGUCAGUUAAUAUUUGUGAAAUGCCUAAUAGAGCCUAUUCCAAACAAUUACUACAUCAGUCUUUUUAAAAAAUAAAACUGUGUCUUUAUUUUAAUUUUCAGAUGUUUCCACUCACAAUAUUGGUAAAUGUAGAGUUUGCCUCUACUGACUGUCAGCUGAACAUCUUGGUUAAGACUCAGACUGCCUGAUUCUUCUCUUCCACUUACAAGCCUUGGGAAAGUCACAUAUAACCAUGUGGAACCUCCACUUCCUCACAUGGAAGGACCCUCUCGCUAGAAACAUUUGGAUACAUGACAGUUCGCUUGCUCUGACCAAGGAGGAACAGCUGCCCAUACUCAGUUCCCUGGGUCUAAGAGACACUCAGACAACAUCUUUGUUAAAUUCAUUAUUUGCAAAGGCCUGGGCAGAAGACCAAAACAGAAAAAGAGGAGAACCAAAUGACAACUCGGAGGAAAUGAUCAGGACUGAGAAGGAGAGGAGAAAAUCCAAGAGGCCAGACCCUCACGUGGACCCUAUUGUCUCUUCCUUCCAACCUCCCAGCCUAUAAACACCUGUGCUAAGCCCAGCUGCCCAGCCCAGGCCCCAUCUGUGGGUGAGGCCUGAGACUUUUCGACCUUGCCUUGGCUGAGCACCGUUAUUACCACAUGCCUAAGACCCGUGCUCCAAUGCAUCUAUCAGGAAUAAAGCUGAUGUCUUAAGCC
rnacentral:lncRNA from 1 species